GCCCCUUGUAGUGGUACAUGCCUGUAGUGCCAUUUACUGGGGAGGCUGUAGCAGGAGGAUGGAUUGAGCCCAGGAGUUCUGAGCUGCAGUGAGCUGUGCCCAUCAGGUGUCUGCUCUAAAUUCAGUUUCAAUAUGGUGACCUUCCGGGAAUAGGAAACACCAGGUUGCUUAAGGAGGGUUGAGCUGGCCCCAGUUGGAAACAGAGCAGGUCAAAACUCCCAUACCAAUCAAUAAAGGAGCAGAUCCUCAGAUGCUGCCACUCAUCAUCUAUAUAUUUUAAUGCUUAUGACU
rnacentral:SRP_RNA from 1 species